CUAAAUGAGCUCUGCUUUCACAAAGCACAUCUGCUGGAAGAGCGUAAGCUGCUGUGAUGACAAAGCAGGCUCACACUUCGUGAGCUUCCCCCACUGCAGGGAAGCUACUGCAGUAUCUGAGCUUCCAGGAAUACUCAUAAAAACUACCAGGCAGUUACAGAAAAUAAUAAUGUUUAAUGUAGCAAAAGAUGAUUAGUGGCCCUCAGUGUGCAGUUUAUAGGAAGGAUGGCUUGUUGCAGGCCAGAGAGGCACCUCUGAGGGUGGGUCUCCAAGACACGGUGCAGGAGGGGUGCUCUGCUCCCAUUUUUUCAGUCAGUCACCACCAUAGAGGUCACUCCAGCCCCACUGGCUCCACCACACCUGCUGCCACUGGGAGGGUCUGGGUUAGCACACAGAAAAUACCAUCCCAACAAGGAUUAAUUGAAGAGAU
rnacentral:lncRNA from 1 species